UUCACAACGGUCCUCUUAUUUGUACAGAUCAGAUGGCAGCUGGUGAAACUGGAAGAGAGAUAGGAAGCAGUGGUGUGCAGUUGACCCACUGCAAACCUGAGAGCCUCGCCAUCACUCCUCUGCCCUCCCAGAGGAGGCAGCUGUAACACAGGCCUUGGAUCUGCUCUUCUUGUGUCCGGUCAUACCCACGACAGCCAGAGAUGGUGACCUACAAGUGGCUGGACCUCAAUCUGUCACAUGCCCUACUGCCAUGCUGUGGCUGUCAGCAACUCACCUGUCUGUGGACCAUCAGGUAAACCUCGCACUUCUGGGAGCACUGAGGUAGGUAGAUCACUUUACCACUGAUGCCCCUCUGACCCCCGAAGGCCCCCAGUGGGCAGAAGAAAGGCGUGUCUACAACUCUCUCUUCUCCCAGGCUGUCUCCAUAUGUAUCAUAGCGCAGUGCUUCUGACCCUCAUUGAUA
rnacentral:lncRNA from 1 species